UACGGAGGAGGCAAGCGUUAUCCGGAAUUAUUGGGCGUAAAGCGUCCGCAGGUGGCACUUCAAGUCUGUCGUCAAAGACUGGGGCUUAACCCUGGAAAGGCGGUGGAAACUGAAGCGCUAGAGUGCGGUAGGGGUAGAGGGAAUUCCCGGUGUAGCGGUGAAAUGCGUAGAGAUCGGGAAGAACAUCGGUGGCGAAAGCGGCUACCUGGACCGGUUCUGACGCUGAUGCGCGAAAGCGUGGGUAGCAAACAGG
rnacentral:rRNA from 1 species